UCCCUGAUGAUCCAGUGGUUAAGACACCACGCUCCCAAUGCAGGAGGCCCAGGUUUGAUCCCUGGUCAGGGAA
rnacentral:tRNA from 1 species